ensembl:lncRNA
AUUAUUAACUCAACUAACAUUUCUAAAUUCUCCAGAAGUUCCUAAAUGGAGGCAGAUCUGGACGAUCUCAGAAGAAGAUUAUGACAGACCCAAUGAUUCUCAAAGUUUUUGGUCUUGGGACCCUUCACAUUCUUAAAAUUAUUGAGGACCCCAAAGAGCUUUUAUUUAUGUGAAUUUUUUCCUUUUGAUAUUUACCAUGUCAGAAGCUAAAAUGUGAAAAAUUUAAAUACUUAUUGGUACAUUCAAAAAUAAUAAACCUGUUAUGUGUUAACAGAAUAUUUUCAAUUAAAAAUUACUAUUUUUCUCCAAAUAGUGAAAUAAUGUUGUUUUAGAUUUUGUUGUAAAUCUUUUGUAUCUAGGUGUAACAGAAAGCAAUUGGAUUCUCAUAGCUGCUACUGCAUUCAGUCUGUUGCUCUAUGAUGUUCUGGUUAAAUUAAAAAGGGAGUUCCCAUCGUGGCGCAGUGGUUAACAAAUCCGACUAGGAACCAUGAGAUAUCAACGUUUUAAAAAUUCUCAUUUUUGCUCUCAAAUUUUUAUCAUUAGUAACAAAUACUGUCAAUUGUUUUCCUUGAAGUGACAAGCUCACUUCAUUUGUUUUCAAGAAAAUAUCAAACACUCAAGUGUGAAAAACCAGUUUAUCAUUCUUUCAAAUAAAAAUGCUGUUCCAUGAAACAAGCAUCUCCCUUCCAAAUCUUACAAGGGCCUUUCCUUACAAGGAUCUACCUCAGUAGAGAGCUUAAGCGUUUUAUGCAUACUUCCCAAAUGGCCACAGAUUCCUAAAACUUAGAAAGACGUGUACUAAAGGACUGAGAUCUAAUAAAAUUAUUUUUACUGCUUCAUCAAAGACAUUCUCAAGUAAGUAUAGCUGAGGUUGGGUGCAACUGCCUUGCUUUGUGCUAAGGUACUACCAGUAGUUUUACCAAGCAUUGCUUUUGGACCAUCAGUGCAAAUGUCGGUAAAAAAAACAAAUAGCCUCCUAGUAUUACUUCGUGGAUAAUACUCCUGAAAGGGCCUGAGGGGAUUCCCGAGGGUCGGUGAACCACAUUUUGGGAACUGCUUUCCUAUAUUACACCACUGGUCCAAGGCAGGCGUGAAAACUAACAAAAUCCUAUUUAUCCCAAGAGUCGUCAUUGUUAGUUCUUUCAGUUUGAGAUACACCACCAAGAGAGCUGGUAUGCAAAACAGAAAACCAACAAGGAUCUACUAUAUAGCACAGGGAACUCCACUAAAUAUCUUGUAACGACCGAUAAGUAAAAAGAAACUGAAAAAUAGAUAUAAAUAUGUAUAAUUGAAUCACUUUUCUGUACACCUGAAACUAACGCAAAAUUCUACAUUAACUGUAUUUCAAUUUUCUUUGUAUUUUAUUUUAGUCUUUUUAGGGCCACACUUGCGGCACAUGGAGGUUCCCAGGUGAGGGGUCAAAUCCGAGCUACAGCUGCCGGCCCACACACCACAGCCACAGCAACUUCAGAUAGGAAGCAUGUCUGCGACCUACACCACAGCUCACCCCAAGGCCAGAUCCUUAACCCACUGAUCGAGGCCAGGGAUCAAACCUGAGUCCUCAUGGAUACUAGUCAGAUUCAUUUCUGCUUAGCCACAACAGGAACUCCAUUUAGUUCAAUUCUUAAUAUAACUUAAAAAUUUACAAAACAUGGCU